rnacentral:misc_RNA from 1 species
AAGUCGUAACAAGGUUUCCGUAGGUGAACCUGCGGAAGGAUCAUUAUCCUUUAGCGUGGUAUUCUAACCAAUACUACAAGCGCAUGCACACUAUGUGUUGCGUAAAAAUGCACAACGACGAUGCCUAGUCAUUUUCGUUUUAAAAUCCAUGCUAGCUCUAGUAUGGUCGGGUACCUAAGCUUGUGUUUAUACGCAGCUCAAGCGGUAGAUUCUUGUCUAUCGUGUGGUGUAAAGAUCAUUCAAGCCUUUGAAUGACGCCCGCUUAGCAAACUUUUUAAUACAAAUUUUAAAUCGCAAUAUUAUGUUGUAUGUGUAAAAGACUAUCUUAUUACUUAUAAGAUAAUAACACAAAUACAACCCUAUGCGGUGGAUCAUUUGGCUC